GCUCUAUGAGGACAUUCAUCUGCUGCACAAGUGCAGCGAUCUGGACGUCCGUAGUGAUCACAGAACGUGAGGAACUAGGCUCUGUUACUGGAAGAGGGGGAGGAACCUCUUUUCGACGGAAAGAGUGUCUUACCGACCCGGUUGCAGUAGAAUGCUGGGUCCUGAUUUUCGCCAUAGUGAAUACGAUCUCGACCCCUACCUGGCGCGUCAAUCUGUUGCGGCCAACUUUCCGUCGCCUGUCGUCGGGAACGAACACCUGCAAGACAGCGUCCACACAGAUCGGAUUUGUGUCCGGCGGGGACCCUCUGAUGCCUAAGUCAGAGAGAAAAGUUGGUGAACAGGAGUUGA
rnacentral:lncRNA from 1 species